rnacentral:tRNA from 1 species
GGGGCCAUAGCUCAGCUGGCAGAGCGCCGCCUUUGCAAGGCGGAGGUCGCCGGUUCGAUCCCGGCUGGCUCCA